rnacentral:rRNA from 1 species
GACGAACGCUGGCGGCGUGCCUAAUACAUGCAAGUCGAGCGGACUUGACAGAGCUUGCUCUGUUCAAGUUAGCGGCGGACGGGUGAGUAACACGUGGGCAACCUGCCCUGCAGAUUGGGAUAACUCCGGGAAACCGGGGCUAAUACCGAAUAACAUUGAAGACCUCAUGGUGUUCUUUUAAAAGGCGGCUUCGGCUGUCACUGCAGGAUGGGCCCGCGGCGCAUUAGCUAGUUGGUGAGGUAACGGCUCACCAAGGCGACGAUGCGUAGCCGACCUGAGAGGGUGAUCGGCCACACUGGGACUGAGACACGGCCCAGACUCCUACGGGAGGCAGCAGUAGGGAAUCUUCCGCAAUGGACGAAAGUCUGACGGAGCAACGCCGCGUGAGUGAAGAAGGUUUUCGGAUCGUAAAACUCUGUUGUUAGGGAAGAACAAGUAUCGGAGUAACUGCCGGUACCUUGACGGUACCUGACCAGAAAGCCACGGCUAACUACGUGCCAGCCGCCGCAGUAA